AGUGAACGCUGGCGGCGUGCUUAACACAUGCAAGUCGAACGAGAACGGAUUAUAGCUUGCUAUAAUUGUCAGCUAAGUGGCGCACGGGUGAGUAAUGUAUAGGUAAUAUGCCUCUUACUAAGGGAUAACAAAUGGAAACGUUUGCUAAUACCUUAUACUCCUUAUUAACCUAAGUUAAUAAGGGAAAGAUUUAUUGGUAAGAGAUUAGCCUGUAUUGUAUCAGUUAGUUGGUGGGUAAUGGCUUACCAAGACUAUGACACAUAACUGGUUUGAGAGGAUGAUCAGUCACACUGGAACUGAGACACGGUCCAGACUCCUACGGGAGGCAGCAGUGGGGAAUAUUGCACAAUGGACGAAAGUCUGAUGCAGCAACGCCGCGUGGAGGAUGACACAUUUCGGUGCGUAAACUCCUUUUAUAUGAGAAGAUAAUGACGGUAUUAUAUGAAUAAGCACUGGCUAACUCCGUGCCAGCAGCCGCAGUAA
rnacentral:rRNA from 1 species